GCUAAUCUCUCGCUUUCAUCUUUCAAGUAAAUCUAUACCCCCUAACAGCGGUGUCUGGUGAACUAGGAUUUUGGUGGGCAGGGUAAAAAGGUGGGUCACUGAGGUGAAUCACGUAACCAGAACAGCAAAAAGGGACAAACAUGAUCAUAAAGGGAGUGUGUCUGCACAAAUAAUUAGAUGGUGAGGCUGGCGUGAAUGCACGUUAGGC